rnacentral:rRNA from 1 species
AACGAACGCUGGCGGCAUGCCUAACACAUGCAAGUCGAACGAGAUCUUCGGGUCUAGUGGCGCACGGGUGCGCAACGCGUGGGAAUCUGCCCUUUGGUUCGGAAUAACUGUUGGAAACGACUGCUAAUACCGGAUGAUGACGAAAGUCCAAAGAUUUAUCGCCAGAGGAUGAGCCCGCGUAGGAUUAGCUAGUUGGUGUGGUAAAGGCGCACCAAGGCGACGAUCCUUAGCUGGUCUGAGAGGAUGAUCAGCCACACUGGGACUGAGACACGGCCCAGACUCCUACGGGAGGCAGCAGUGGGGAAUAUUGGACAAUGGGCGAAAGCCUGAUCCAGCAAUGCCGCGUGAGUGAUGAAGGCCUUAGGGUUGUAAAGCUCUUUUACCCGGGAUGAUAAUGACAGUACCGGGAGAAUAAGCUCCGGCUAACUCCGUGCCAGCCGCCGCGGUAACAC